AUGUUCAAAUAUCGUUACUCCAUCAGAGUCUGGACCAUGAUUUAUGAUUGGUUGGGUAUACAGUCUACAACGCCCUCAUGGAGUGAUCUACAAACGGUCAAACAAUGGUGGGCCGCCAGCGGGAGGCGACUUGGCUGCCCUAGGAAGGCAGCCAACUCCCUACAAAUUCUCGUUUGUUGGGAGAUUUGGAACGAGAGAAAUGCUAGGUUCUUCCAUAAAAAGGAAUAUAUGCCCACAAGAGUAGUAGGGAUAAUCAAGGAGGAGGCCAAGACGUGGGUGUUAGCCGGGGCUAGUUUCUUGGAAAUUUAA
rnacentral:rRNA from 1 species